GAUGAACGCUGGCGGCGUGCCUAAUACAUGCAAGUCGAGCGAACAGAUGAGGAGCUUGUUCCUCUGACGUUAGCGGCGGACGGGUGAGUAACACGUGGAUAACCUACCUAUAAGACUGGGAUAACUUCGGGACACCGGAGCUAAUACCGGAUAAUAUAUUGAACCGCAUGGUUCAAUAGUGAAAGACGGUUUUGCUGUCACUUAUAGAUGGAUCCGCGCCGUAUUAGCUAGUUGGUAAGGUAACGGCUUACCAAGGCAACGAUGCGUAGCCGACCUGAGAGGGUGAUCGGCCACACUGGAACUGAGACACGGUCCAGACUCCUACGGGAGGCAGCAGUAGGGAAUCGUCCGCAAUGGGCGAAAGCCUGACGGAGCAACGCCGCGGGAGUGAUGAAGGUCUUCGGAUCGUAAAACUCUGUUAUUAGGGAAGAACAAAUGUGUAAGUAACUAUGCACGUCUUGACGGUACCUAAUCAGAAAGCCACGGCUAACUACGUG
rnacentral:rRNA from 1 species